UUUCCGUAGGUAAGUUAUCACCACCGAUCCUCGCUCUUCAUGAAAAACAGUCGCUAAUCUGUCUUCCAGGUGAACCUGCGGAAGGAUCAUCACAGUGUCAGGCUUCGGCCUCAUUCACACCCCUUGUUGAACCACUGGUUUCUUUGGCGAUGUCAUGGACUCGUCAAACUUAAACUCUGAAAAUGCGAUACUGUCCGAGUGAGAUUGAAUUAUCAAAACUUUCAACAACGGAUCUCUUGGUUCCAACAUCGAUGAAGAACGCAGC
rnacentral:misc_RNA from 1 species